GACGAACGCUGGCGGCGUGCUUAACACAUGCAAGUCGAACGGAAAGGCCCUGCUUUUGUGGGGUGCUCGAGUGGCGAACGGGUGAGUAACACGUGAGUAACCUGCCCUUGACUUUGGGAUAACUUCAGGAAACUGGGGCUAAUACCGGAUAGGAGCUCCUGCUGCAUGGUGGGGGUUGGAAAGUUUCGGCGGUUGGGGAUGGACUCGCGGCUUAUCAGCUUGUUGGUGGGGUAGUGGCUUACCAAGGCUUUGACGGGUAGCCGGCCUUAGAGGGUGACCGGCCACAUUGGUACUGAGAUACGGCCCAGACUCCUACGGGAGGCAGCAGUGGGGAAUAUUGCACAAGGGGCGGGAGCCUGAUGCAGCAACGCCGCGUGCGGGAUGACGGCCUUCGGGUUGUAAACCGCUUUCGCCUGUGACGAAGCGUGAGUGACGGUAAUGGGUAAAGAAGCACCGGCUAACUACGUG
rnacentral:rRNA from 1 species